rnacentral:rRNA from 1 species
AGCGAACGCUGGCGGCAGGCCUAACACAUGCAAGUCGAACGAACCUUUCGGGGUUAGUGGCGGACGGGUGAGUAACACGUGGGAACGUGCCUUUAGGUUCGGAAUAACUCAGGGAAACUUGUGCUAAUACCGAAUGUGCCCUUCGGGGGAAAGAUUUAUCGCCUUUAGAGCGGCCCGCGUCUGAUUAGCUAGUUGGUUGAGGUAAUGGCUCACCAAGGCUACGAUCAGUAGCUGGUCUGAGAGGAUGAUCAGCCACAUUGGGACUGAGACACGGCCCAAACUCCUACGGGAGGCAGCAGUGGGGAAUCUUGCGCAAUGGGCGAAAGCCUGACGCAGCCAUGCCGCGUGAAUGAUGAAGGUCUUAGGAUUGUAAAAUUCUUUCACCGGGGACGAUAAUGACGGUACCCGGAGAAGAAGCCACGGCUAACUUCGUG